rnacentral:rRNA from 1 species
GGACUACACGGGUUUCUAAUCCGUUUUGCUCCCCACGCUUUCGUGCCUCAAUGUCAGGAACAGAAUAGUUAACUGCCUUCGCCGUUAUUGAUGUUCUAGUUCAUAUCUAUGGAUUUUACCCCUCCAUGAACCAUUCCGUUAACCUCUCCUGACCUCUAGUUGGAUAGUAUUACCGGCUUCCACGAGGUUGAGCCUCGAUUUCCCACCGCUAACUUAUCAAACCAUCUACGCACCCUUUACGCCCAAUAAUUCCGGAUAACGUUCGCCACCUACGUCUUACCGCGGCGGCUGGCAC